CUUUAUUACAUCUAUAUGAUUUAUCUAAUUUGAGUAUAAAGACUAUUAAAGAAGUUAUACCCUGAGUCUUCACUGUCACCUGAAUUACUGAAAGGUUUGUCUUCUCGGUUACAGGACUUAAGAUACUAUCAACUGCAUAAAAAGAGAGUCCUUCAAACAGAUGAUCCUUUUUCUAGAAAGAAGCUGAGCAUUGUGCUUAUCUGAUUUUGAGUGAAAACACAGAGGAAGACUGUUUUCAGCUGAGCUAUUGACAAUGCUACCACUGGUGAGUAGGGAAUUCUUUGUACUGAAAUUACCCAUGCGUUGUCAGCAGACGGGAAGGUU
rnacentral:lncRNA from 1 species